rnacentral:rRNA from 1 species
AGAGUUUGAUCCUGGCUCAGAUUGAACGCUGGCGGUAUGCUUAACACAUGCAAGUCGAACGGAAACGAUACUAGCUUGCUAGUAGGCGUCGAGUGGCGGACGGGUGAGUAACGCGUAGGAAUCUGCCUGAUAGUGGGGGAUAGCCCGAAGAAAUUCGGAUUAAUACCGCAUAAUCUAUUCGUAGUAAAGUGGGGGACUUUCGAGCCUCACGCUAUCAGAUGAGCCUGCGUAAGAUUAGCUUGUUGGUGGGGUAAAAGCCCACCAAGGCGACGAUCUUUAGCUGGUCUGAGAGGAUGAUCAGCCACAUCGGGACUGAGACACGGCCCGAACUCCUACGGGAGGCAGCAGUGGGGAAUAUUGGACAAUGGGGGCAACCCUGAUCCAGCAAUACCGCGUGUGUGAAGAAGGCCUGAGGGUUGUAAAGCACUUUCAAUUGUGAAGAAAAGUUAGCGGUUAAUAACCGUUAGCCUUGACGUUAACUUUAGAAGAAGCACCGGCUAACUCCGUGCCAGCAGCCGCGGUAAUACGGAGGGUGCAAGCGUUAUCGGAAUUACUGGGCGUAAAGCGUGCGUAGGCGGUUUAUUAAGUCAGAUGUGAAAGCCCCGGGCUUAACCUGGGAACUGCAUUUGAAACUGGUCAACUAGAGUAUGGUAGAGGAAAGUGGAAUUUCUGGUGUAGCGGUGAAAUGCGUAGAUAUCAGAAGGAACAUCAAUGGCGAAGGCAGCUUUCUGGACCAAUACUGACGCUGAGGUACGAAAGCGUGGGUAGCAAACAGGAUUAGAUACCCUGGUAGUCCACGCCGUAAACGAUGAUAACUAGCCGUUGGGGGGAUUUACCCUUUAGUGGCGAAGCUAACGCGUUAAGUUAUCCGCCUGGGGAGUACGGCCGCAAGGUUAAAACUCAAAGGAAUUGACGGGGACCCGCACAAGCGGUGGAGCAUGUGGUUUAAUUCGAUGCAACGCGAAGAACCUUACCUGGUCUUGACAUCCUGCGAACUUUCUAGAAAUAGAUUGGUGCCUUCGGGAACGCAGUGACAGGUGCUGCAUGGCUGUCGUCAGCUCGUGUCGUGAGAUGUUGGGUUAAGUCCCGUAACGAGCGCAACCCCUAUCCUUAUUUGCCAGCACAUUAUGGUGGGAACUAUAAGGAGACUGCCGGUGAUAAACCGGAGGAAGGCGGGGACGACGUCAAGUCAUCAUGGCCCUUACGACCAGGGCUACACACGUGCUACAAUGGGAAGGACAAAGAGCCGCGAAGCCGCGAGGUGUAGCUAAUCUCAUAAACCUUUUCGUAGUCCGGAUUGGAGUCUGCAACUCGACUCCAUGAAGUCGGAAUCGCUAGUAAUCGUAGAUCAGAAUGCUACGGUGAAUACGUUCCCGGGUCUUGUACACACCGCCCGUCAUACCAUGGGAGUGGGUUGCACCAGAAGUGGCUAGUCUAACUUAGUGAGGACGGUCACCACGGUGUGAUUCAUGACUGGGGUAAAGUCGUAACAAGGUA